AUUCCUUCAGGUACAGUUGUAUGAUAACAUUCUUGACAUUCACAGGGUUAAAGGACAGCGUAUGGUCCCGACCACUCCCAAUGGGACGCUCACCCCAUGCCAGGAUAUAAGCAACACCCAAUACUUAGACCCUAAAGAAGUAAAAAGGCAGAAGGAUAGAGAGCAGUAUGCACAAAAUAGGGAUGAGAUUUAAUAAGAGACGGCGUGAGGGCUAUAAACAGAAGAAAAUUGUCGCAGCCGACAUCAAUGGGGCACACACCCAGCUGGCUGUAUCACAAGGCCGUAAUGAGAUAAAGAUUCAGAUGGAAAGGGAACGGUAUGCACAAAAUAGAGAGGACAUUUUAAAGCAACAACGUCCAACCCGCGAGCAAAAUAAGCAUAUUGUUGUCAUCCUUGAUGGCAGUAACAUUGCAACACAGGUGCCGGCUACCGGACAAUCGCCAGUCACACAAUUGCAGAACAUAACAUGUGCAGGUGGUGCAGUCACUAGAUUGUUGCUCAACUGCUAAACUGUGUCAUGAAUUGCAGACCCUAAAGAAAUAAAAAGGCAGAGGGAUAGAAAGCUUUACUGUAGUUGAUCCUAUCCUAAAUCUCUCAUCAAUGCAAAGAUGAGUGGACGUUCCAAAAGCACUUCUAUGGUUUGUAGUUAGUCCUACCACCCGAUCUUCUCAAAUAAGAUUGUUUUUCUUUGAGAUUGUUUUUCUUUUUAUUUGUGGCUUCUGAUGCUAAUACCUUUUCAUUUGUUGGUGCAAUAGCUAAAAGAAUUGGAUGAUUUAUUCAAAUAUGCA